rnacentral:rRNA from 1 species
UACAGAGGGUGCAAGCGUUGCUCGGAAUCAUUGGGCGUAAAGGGUAGGUAGGUGGUCUCAUUUGUCGGUAGGUGAAAGCCUUGGGCUUAACUCAAGAAGUGCCUCCGAAACGGUGAGACUAGAGUUCUGGAGAGGCUAGGGGAAUUCCCGGUGUAGCGGUGAAAUGCGUAGAGAUCGGGAGGAACACCAGUGGCGAAGGCGGCUCACUGGACCGGUUCUGACGCUGAUGCGCGAAAGCGUGG